rnacentral:lncRNA from 1 species
CGAAGGAUUUAGAGGUGUACUUGGUGGAGAAGUACCUGGACUAUGUUGAAUCUAUAUGGCCCUAUUACUGCAGAACAAUCAGGUUUCUGAAGAGGGCGAAUCUAAUCUAGGUCUAAGACUUAUAUUUUUGCUGGAUUUUGUCAGCUGAAAAGGAGACUCAAAUGCGGAAUAUCAGAAUAUUUUUUGUUGUCUUUUAGCUUAUUAUAUUUUUGCUAGAUUUUGUCAGCUGAAAAAGAGACUCAAAUGCGGAAUAUCAGAAUAUUUUUUGUUGUCUUUUACCUUAUUUCUUUUUGUAUAAUUGUUUUUUCGUAAGAAUUGCCAUAGGAAUUGUCUGUUGAAAACCCCAGUUUGGGCUGGGGUUGUACCUGAGAGCAGAAAGACAGUUUUCUGUUGUAGCUGGACAUGUGAAAGUGGGUUGCAUGCGUUUUUCGUUGUGGACAAAUGUUGCUUCUAUAAUUCGUUAUGCAUCCUUUAUUCUUCCAGAUAACAGAAUCA